rnacentral:lncRNA from 1 species
UUUUAGUGUACAUUUCAGGAAUGAUAGGGUGUAUACUUGAGUAAUAAGUUAGGAAAUGAGGACUCACAUGAGGAGGUGUAUAUAGAGAUAGCACCCGGAUAAGGAAUGAAAGGGGAGUCACAUAAAGUAAGCAGAUUGAAGAAAGCUUGUAUGGGAUUAAAGUGUUAAAAAUAAAGUUUGGGAGCUGCAGUUGAUUUUUCCUAUAUAGGGGCAGCCUUCUUUACUUCAUGGACAAGUUUUUGAGCCCAAAAUCCCCUCCCCCCCUCCCCCCAAAAAAAAUUCCUCUUCAUGUUUCAGAUCCGAGAAUUCAAAUCUGAGAUCAAAAUCUUCUUUAAGUUCUUAGUUAAAACAAAAAAUCCAAAAAAAAAAACAGAAAAAAUGCAACAAAAAUCAAAAAUAGGCACUGUUACAUUGAUCUUUGGUUAAUUUUGAUCAAACUCUCUUCUCUUCUGAUUGCUAAGGUUCCUCUGAGGUUUACUGGUUGGUUUUUCGAGUGGUUUUGGGUUUAUUCAAAUUGAUUUUGAGUUGAUCUAGUAGAUCUGAUCGAUUUUAAAAUAUUUUUGGGUCAUCUGGUUGUGAUUUUGAGUUUCUGCGGGUGUAUUCAAGCUGAUUUUUGAAAUUGUUCCUGAAUUUGCAGGUUUGAAAUCAUUAUUGGACAGCUGGUUUAUUUUCUGAGCUGGUUAUUGCUGCAUUCUGUUGUACUAAAAGUUAUUCCUACUGCUGACCUCCUCUUCUUUAUUUCAUUUUCAUAUCCAGGUACUCACCUUCAAUUGAUGUAAUUCUGAGUUGAAGUUGAAAUAGAAUUCAUUCACGAUUUGGCAGCCUGAUUAUGUACUCAUUUGGAUUGCUACUGUCAACACCUAGACACAUGCUAAUUACUAUGUAGUAUUUUAAUCUAGUUUUACAUGAUUUGUGUAAUUAGGAUUGUUAAUUAGUGGACUGUUAAAAUGAUUGGACGUGUUCCUGAGAUGUGAAAGAUCUAUAGUUAUUAAUAGUUUAAUUUGUUUGAGCUGGUGUUGCUAAUAUAAUGAAGAGUUUCAGUGAAAUUCAUGAGAACUAAGCACAUAACUGUUUUCAGUAGUGCGUUUCAGUAGGUUAGUUCAAUAAUUUAGAUAUGAUGUUAAUAGCAUAUUGAAUAAUGUUGGUAAAUAAUAUAAGUCUUCAAAUUGUGAGUUAAGGUUAGUUUAAAUUUCAAUAAUUGUAAAACUGAGUUCUAAAUGAUUCU